rnacentral:rRNA from 1 species
GAUGAACGCUGGCGGCGUGCCUAAUACAUGCAAGUCGAGCGAAUGGAUUAAGAGCUUGCUCUUAUGAAGUUAGCGGCGGACGGGUGAGUAACACGUGGGCAACCUGCCCAUAAGACUGGGAUAACUCCGGGAAACCGGGGCUAAUACCGGAUAACCUUUUGAACCGCAUGGUUCGAAAUUGAAAGGCGGCUUCGGCUGUCACUUAUGUAGUGACCCGGGUCGCAUUAGCUAGUUGGUGAGGUAACGGCUCACCAAGGCAACGAUGCGUAGCCGACCUGAGAGGGUGAUCGGCCACACUGGGACUGAGACACGGCCCAGACUCCUACGGGAGGCAGCAGUAGGGAAUCUUCCGCAAUGGACGAAAGUCUGACGGAGCAACGCCGCGUGAGUGAUGAAGGCUUUCGGGUCGUAAAACUCUGUUGUUAGGGAAGAACAAGUGCUAGUUGAAUAAGCUGGCACCUUGACGGUACCUAACCAGAAAGCCACGGCUAACUACGUGCCAGCCGCCGCUGUAA